rnacentral:rRNA from 1 species
GACGAACGCUGGCGGCGUGCUUAACACAUGCAAGUCGAACGGAAAGGCCCUGCUUUUGUGGGGUGCUCGAGUGGCGAACGGGUGAGUAACACGUGAGUAACCUGCCCUUGACUUUGGGAUAACUUCAGGAAACUUGGGCUAAUACCUGAUAUGAGCUCCUGCUGCAUGGUGGGGGUUGGAAAGUUUCGGCGGUUGGGGAUGGACUCGCGGCUUAUCAGCUUGUUGGUGGGGUAGUGGCUUACCAAGGCUUUGACGGGUAGCCGGCCUGAGAGGGUGACCGGCCACAUUGGGACUGAGAUAAGGCCCAGACUACUAAGGGAGGCAGCAGUGGGGAAUAUUGAACAAUGGGCGGCAGCCUGAUGCAGCAACGCCGAGUGCGGGAUGAGGGCCUUCGAGUUGUAAACCGCUUUCGCCUGUGACGAAGCGUGAGUGACGGUAAUGGGUAAAGAAGCACCGGCUAACUACGUG